rnacentral:rRNA from 1 species
UACAGAGGUCUCAAGCGUUGUUCGGAUUCAUUGGGCGUAAAGGGUGCGUAGGCGGCGCGGUAAGUCGGGUGUGAAAUUUCGGAGCUUAACUCCGAAACUGCAUUCGAUACUGCCGUGCUUGAGGACUGGAGAGGAGACUGGAAUUUACGGUGUAGCGGUGAAAUGCGUAGAUAUCGGAAGGAACACCAGUGGCGAAAGCGGCUUCCUGGUCCAGCACCGACGUUCAGGCACGAAAGCGUGGGGAGCAAACAGG